ACACGCGGGCUACAAUGGCCGGGACAAUGGGAAGCCACCCCGAGAGGGGGCGCUAAUCUCCUAAACCUGGUCGUAAUUCGGAUUGAGGGCUGAAACUCCCCCUCAUGAAACUGGAUUCCGUAGUAAUCGCGUUUCAGCAGAGCGCGGCGAAUACCUCCCUGCUCCUUG
rnacentral:rRNA from 1 species